UUAUAAUGGGUGGCGUUUAAAAACGCCUCCAAAUGCGGUAUGCCCACGCGCCUCCUUUUGUGAAAGUGAAACCUUAUUUUGAAUCAGACCCUUUCUCUCUCUCUCUCAGCCCUUAAUACAUACGCACAGAUCUUUCUCUCUCUCAACCCUCUCUAAGCUCCAUCGAAGAUUCAGAUCGAAGCAAUUUCGAAGCUCCUGAAGGUUCAGAUCUAAGCUUCAUCGAAGAUUUAGAUCGAAGCUCCAUCGACGCGAUUUCGAAGAUUCAGAUCGAAGAUUUCGAAGCUCCAUCGAAGUUUCAGAUUUAAGCUUCAUCAAAGAUUCAGAUCGAAGCGAUUUCGAAGCUCCAUUGAAGUUUCAGAUCUAAGCUUCAUCGAAGGUUCAGAUUGAAGCUCCAUCGACGCGAUUUCGAACCUCCAUUGAAGCGAUUUUGAAGAUUCAGAUCUGAACUCUGACCCCUCGAUUACUCGCAUUUCAAGUUCUAAUGGUGGCGAAUAGUCUACUUUGUUUCUGAACUGUAAUCGAUGACUACACACGGUGCCUUCCAGUUCUGCAAGCAAUACAAACGCACAACAGAGUUUCGCAGGCUAUGUGAAAUCAUCAGGAAUCAUUUGGCCAACCUUAAUAAAUACAGAGACCAGAGGGACCGACCUGAUCUAUCAGCUCCAGAAAGCUUGCAAUUGAAUCUUGAUACAAGAUUUGAGCAGUUAAAGAUUGCAACCGAACUUGAACUCUAGCAGGUCUGCGUAUUUGGUUAUGCUUGAGAGUAGAGAAGUGAUGAAUUUGAUGGAACGUGAGACAUUGUGCCAUUUCUGGAGGCGAGCUCUGUCAUCUUUGCUCUUAGUUGGAUUCUGAGAUGAGCUAUGCAAUUGCCUUCCUCAAUCUCAAUGCUAACACUGGCAAUAAUUUUAUAAACACCGUCAAUCAAUUUAAUAGGUUGCAAAAGGUGUAAUGACCUGUGUGACUCAAGAAGUAAAAGAUCUUUACCAUCUUUUGGGGCAUGAGUUUCUCCCUCUAGAUCUUGCAUCAAAAGUGCAGCCUUUGUUGACCAAAAUUUCCAAACUUGGGGGUAAGCUUGCUUCAGCAUCUUCUGUUCCAGAGGUCCAUCUAUCUUAAUACAUUCCCACUCUGGAAAAGCUUGCCACACUAAGAUUGCUUUAGCAGGAGAAAUUUAGGCUACUGGUGUUAAGGUUUAGCACAGUUCAGUUGCUGCUGUUCCUAAUUCACAUGAAGAUUUACAUGAUGAAAUAUAUGAUUGUGAAGAUCAUCCGAACGGGGACAAUGAUACUCUUGCUGAGGAGAAUGUACAGGUUGACUUCACCAAACUCACAAAGAGGCAGAAAAAAAAUGUUCGAGUUAAGGCUAAAGAGGAAUGAGGCUAGAAAAGCCAAUCAAACUGCCAUGGUGGCAGAGAAGAAGAGAAUGGAAGCUCCGCCAGAGUAUAAGGGUGUUUCUAAACAAAAAUGGAUUGAGGAGAGGAA